rnacentral:rRNA from 2 species
UACGAAGGGGGCUAGCGUUGUUCGGAAUUACUGGGCGUAAAGCGCAUGUAGGCGGACAUUUAAGUCAGGGGUGAAAUCCCGGGGCUCAACCUCGGAACUGCCUUUGAUACUGGGUGUCUAGAGUGUGGAAGAGGUAAGUGGAAUUCCGAGUGUAGAGGUGAAAUUCGUAGAUAUUCGGAGGAACACCAGUGGCGAAGGCGGCUUACUGGUCCAUUACUGACGCUGAGGUGCGAAAGCGUGGGGAGCAAACAGG